UUUUUUUUUUUUUAAUUCACAUUCAGGCCUCUGGACUCCUUUGCUCACUUUUCCCAUCUCCCGGCAUUAAAGGACAGCUCUGUACAAGGACCUGGGGCUGUGCCAUAGCUAGCCCUCUCUCUGGGAGGAAUUUCUCCAGGAUUGCUGUUCUUUGGAAGAGUGCCUGCUGCAAUACUAAGCUGUGUCUCUGGAGAAGCAGGGAUGUAUCAGGUGUGGAUUAAUCUCAGUGCUCAAAUAUUACCUUUGGAAAGCAUUCUGUUUACUGAAACCAGAAUGCCAUCGUGGCUGGGAACAGCCCCAGCAAUGCCAUUACACUCAAUGCUGUGCUCAGAGCUGAUGUAGCGGGGAGGUAACCGGACACUUGUGAGCAGCACGGGGAUAUCUGCAGGAGAGCACGGCUGGCCAGAUGUUGUGUCUUUGCCUUCCCCAGAAGGAAGAUGGAGAUGGGCAGGAGCUGGAGGCUCUUGGACUGUGUCUGCAGAACCCCGGUUUUGAAAGGGCUUCUAAGUCACGGCGAUUUAAUCAGCAGAAGGUGAAAUUUGUCACUGCUUCCUUCUGCUCCCCAAGCAAUCCUUGCAUGGGUAACUUCUCCGAGGUGCUGGUAGCGGAGGCAACUCUUCAGGAGAGUGAUGGCCCUGGGGGAUAUUGCAGGCACAAAUGAACUCUUCUGAUUAAUCUGAACCUCCCCUGGAGCAGCUUUGUGCCGUUCCCUCACAUCCUGCCAACUGUUACCAGGGAGAAGAGACUGGCACCUCCCUUUUAUCACCUCUGUUGCCCUCCUCUGGAUGCUGUCAAGGACCUUAACAUCCUUUUGAUAUUGUGGGGCCCAGAGUCGCUCACAGUACUCAAGGUGAGGCCACAGCAGUGCCGAAUCUGGUGGGCUAAUCUCUUCUGUCCAGCUGCCGUGCCAUGUUUAAGGCACCCCAAAAUGCGGUUUGCCCUCCUGGCUGCCGGGGCACGGUGCUGGUUCACAUGGAGCUGCUGCCGACGUGGAUGUCCCUGCUGCCAGCUGUGAUGGUUGUGUACCCAGCCAGAGCCGGGGCUGCCAGCCAUUAUUUAUUGCACGGUAUGUCCACAAACGAGGCACGUGCAACACUGAGCUGUUGUGUGUGCGUGUACAUUUUCCUUUCACAUUUCCUACAUUGUAAAAUCAUUCCUAAGGCUGUUGUAGGCACUGCGGGCCAGCCCUCGUGUCCCUGGCUGCAGCUCCUGGCACGGGACAGAAGCCAGACCCUGCGGGAAGCAGGGCAGCAGCGCUGCUCCUGCAUGGCCCUGCCGGCGCUUCGAAAUGGAGGCAAGCGGGGGGAAAAUCCUAACCUGAUUGUGGUGGAAUAAAGGACAUAAAAGUGAUA